UCCUCUUGUCUUACUCCCGCACCAGCCGUCACACAUCCCUAGGCCUCCUUGCACUUUGUUCCCCGCCCGCUCGUCCCUCGGUUCUCCUCAUCCCUCCUCUGCUCUAGCUGCUACGCCGCCUCUCCCUCCACAACGCGGCCAGCUCGAGCUCCACCUCCUCCAUCUCAAGGAGACGACUGCACAAGACGUCCGGCGCCGUCACCAUCGUCCUUGGCACAACUGAAGCACGUGAUGCUUGCUGCGUCGUCGUCGUCCUUUCUCUCGCUGCCACCACCACCCUGACCGAGCCAUCCCCGUGCUCUCGCUGAGCCUUCCCCUCCUGGGUCACUGACCCAGGUGGCGGAGAAGGAGAGGGUGAGCUCGAGGGGCUGGCAAGGGAGGAGGGGGUUGACGGGGUCUGAUCUGGUGGCGGCAGAUUGGAGCUCGAGCUCGAGGCGGAGACAAGGAAGGUCGGAAAAUGAAGAGAUGGGAUGAAGGUGCUCGAGGCGAAGGACCGCUCAUCGGCGAGUUCUAGCUGGAGGCGGCGAGAUCCCUCUCCCAAUCUCUCAUUCUCUUGAUUUUCCCUCUCCAAACCUUCAUCUCUGUUCUCGCGCGUUGCACACGUCUGCUCCCCCUCACCACAACCAGCGUCGGUAGCCUGCAUCCCCCAUCAAGCGUGCAUCAGCGCUGGAUGUGCAAGCUUCAACGACCGCAUCAACAACGAUGGUGGGCAGGAAAGGAGUGAGAUGGCGGUCAUGAUUUUCAGUCUGAAGUUGCUUUUACGAACUUUCAAUCAAUCCAAGCAGGGGAAGAUAAUGGUAACCAAGGCCACCUUUGUUGGUCAUGGAUUUAGAAGAAAGCCAACAGACUAUGAAAAGGUUCUCAUGGGACUCACCUUGAACUGAAAUCUUUGUUCAACCUUGGUAUAAUUCUGUGACAGAAACCCCAGGUGGUCCAAUAUUUUGUUUGUUUCUUUAGUGCCUGUUGUUUUUUGGUUUGUUAUAACCGAAUUUACAGCCUACAAUACAUGCAUUUCUUUUAUUCUGUUUUGGUGGGUUCUAAACUAUGAAAUUAGGAAACAUAUAGUUUAUUAGUUUGACACCUGCUCCAGGAUAAAUAAUGGAAGGAAGAAUUCUUACUUCAUGGUGACACACAUGACUGUCAAACUGCAGAAAAUACUUGAUUUAUGUACUGUAUGAUUCCCGAGUUCCUUUGCUUUCAAGAUUUAAGUGGGGAGAACUUAUGAGCUUAUAAAUGAGUGAUUCGGAUUUGUCUAAUUGAGAACUAGCAAAUCAUGAAGAGUAAGGGUUUUCUACUCGUAUAGACUGGUUGGUCGAUUGCAUCUUGAUACAUCAUACCUUAAACAUCAUAACUUCUAAUUGGGGGACCAGGUUGAUGCCCUGUCUGAUGAGAAUCUUUUGGGAUGCACGGGCAUAUGCUUCCACCACUAUAUACAAUGAGUACAACAUUUAACAUGGGCAUGAUGUUAAAUUAGAGUGAAUCUAAGGGCCUACUGGGUGCAUAAUCUGUGGCUAAAUUAUUUUAGAUUUUUUGUGUGUGUGCGAGGAGCAGUUCUACUACCUCUUCAUGGUUCGUCAUUUACAUAUUAGUUGGAUGAUAUCUCUUUAUUCUGUUGUUGUGACUGACCAGCUGCUUACUUAUAUGGAUAACUUGAACUGAAAGCAAGAGUAGAAGCCCAUGAGAUGAGACACAAGGAAAAUAUGCAUGUUAUUUUCAAUUCUAAUGUUUCAGUUCCAUAUUCUCCUACUUGACUGGAUAUGUGAUGUAUAUACUGAUUUCCUGCUACUAUUUGAGUUAUAACACUUUUUAUGUUUCUCUGGCAGAAAAUGGCACAAUCAUGAUUCAGUUUGGUCAGCAAGUACCUAAUUACAAGUCAUCAGCUAGCGAUUCUUCCCAAGAAGUGUUCGGAAUGAGAAAUGAAGCUUUAAUGAGAAGAAUAUUGAUGUUGUACAAUAGCCGUAAGAUCACAAGAGAUUGACCUUUUGGGUGGUCUAAUACUUCCUAUAUGGGCACAUAGAAAAGCCACUACGCAAGUAGUUCAGUCUUUUCUUUAAAAACUGCUUUCUCUUACUACACAACCAGGCUCAAUUCAUACGUAUGUAAAUUUUACAUCAUACUUCUUCCAUUCCCAAAACAAGGGUAUUAUUUCUCCCCUUCCCUAAUCAGUGUUUCAGACCUUUUUUGAGUUGAGAAUCUCACCUACAGCACAUCAAUUGUCUGUAAAUAAAUGUAACAUGAAUCACUCUCCAAAAUCCUUGAAACUUGAGCUUCGAUGAAUAUGAAGGUCUUUGUGUUGGCAUACACUCCUUUAUUCCAAAUGGUGCUGAUAUAAAAACACCAUCAGGGAUUCCAUGUGUACCAUGUAUGUCCAUAAAAACAGCAUUGAUAUAUCAGCACACUAAUGUGCUGAUCUAAAAACAUUUUUUUCUAAGUGACGGUUUCGAGUCGGCAAAAAUAUAGUGUAUGUCCAUAAUGUGAUGGCAACUGAGUAUCCAUGUGUACAGGGAAGGCAUCAGUCUAUAUCGAAAAACACCAGCAAUUUUAUCCUAAUUGUUAAUGAAAUUGUUGUUUAUUGCUUCAUAUUGCCAAUUGCACCUGCUUACAUAUAUCCUUAAGUUUACUACCUCCUGUCCUUAGAAGCAUCAGUUUGUCCUUAUUUUUUGUAUGCUCUGUUUCAUCUAAAUUGCGUACAUCCAUUUCCAACAGAAUUAGGGGAGUCCGUAUAAAUUAGAUAUGUUCCUUUUCUUCUCAACAGGUGUCUAUUAUGAGUACUGCAAUUUAGACAUGAUUAAGAAUGGUACUGGAGUUUGCCUAUCUAUCAUGGUUUUUUAGUUCUGCUUAGUUGAUGGCCUCACGUAAUGUGCCUCCAUGGAUGGAGCUCUCCGGGUCUGCCUUGUUGAAUGUUCUACCAUGGAUGGAGCUUUUACUGAUACCCUUUCUGAAUAGCUGAUAUUUAUUGUACCUCAUUUUCGCUCCUAGUUGGCGGGGAACCCCUCCUGGUCGAGCCCCUAGCCCCCCACCUUGGCAACUGCCUGGAGAGGUGGAUAGCUCGAGGACAACUCCCAAUGUGCCGAGGAGAUGGGAACAUGAUAAGCUGACACCUAAUAAGGAUUAGGAGAACAACAGGUAUGCUAAGAGACAACCUUUUGGGGUUAAGGAUAUAAACAACAACAGGGCUUAUGAGGCCGAAGAGAGCUCGGGUGGCGUCUUUUGGUUCUUGAAGACCUGCACGUUCCUGGUGGAGUGGAGCAAAAUAAUUUGGAGGCCUUAAAGCUACUGCACUUCAUCUAGUUAGGAUCAAUUCUUUGUUUCAGUUUGAAAUAUUCCCCAGUUCCUCCUAUUUGAUUGAUUCAUCUGAUGGACAUUUUGUCAGGCAAAUAAACAAAAGGCAUAUGUAUUGUUAUGAGUGAAGCCAUCCAUACUCCCAUGUGGGAUUCAAGAAAUAGAGAAAUGUUAUUGUUCUUCUACUAAUUGUUUGCUUAGCCAAAUGUACUGUAAAUGAUUUAUUAUUUUUCAAGGUAUAGAUAAAUGUUAUUGUUCUUCA